rnacentral:rRNA from 1 species
AUUGAACGCUGGCGGCAUGCCUUACACAUGCAAGUCGAACGGCAGCACGGGAGUAAUCCUGGUGGCGAGUGGCGAACGGGUGAGUAAUAUAUCGGAACGUGCCCGGUCGUGGGGAUAACGUAGCGAAAGCUACGCUAAUACCGCAUACGAUCUAAGGAUGAAAGCGGGGGAUCGCAAGACCUCGCGCGAUUGGAGCGGCCGAUAUCAGAUUAGGUAGUUGGUGAGGUAAAGGCUCACCAAGCCAACGAUCUGUAGCUGGUCUGAGAGGACGACCAGCCACACUGGAACUGAGACACGGUCCAGACUCCUACGGGAGGCAGCAGUGGGGAAUAUUGGACAAUGGGCGGAAAGCCUGAGUCCAGCAAUGCCGCGUGAGUGAUGAAGGCCUUA